AGCGAACGCUGGCGGCGUGCCUAACACAUGCAAGUCGAACGGGAAAGGGCGCAAUCCCAAGUAAGGUGGCGUACGGGUGAGUAACACGUAGGUAAUCUACCCCAGAAUCUGGAAUAACCGGCCGAAAGGCAGCCUAAUACUGGAUAGAGCGACGGAAUCCGCAAUAUGGUGUUGCGGGAAAGGUAGCCGGUGAAAAGGCCUUAGUCCUGGGAUGAGCCUGCGUCGCAUCAGCUAGUUGGUGAGGUUAAAGCUAAGCAAGGCAGUGACGGGUAGCUGGUCUGAGAGGACGGGCAGCCACACUGGGACUGUGACACGGUCCAGAGGCCUACGGGAGGCAGCAGGGGGGAAUCGUGCGCAAUCGACGGAAGUCUGACCCAGCUGCGCCGCGGCAGGGUAGAGGGCCGUCGCGUGGUGAAGCUCUGUCGAGUGGGUCGAAAACGCUUUGACUUCACAGCUCCAGGAACUGACGGUACCACUAAAGGAAGCACCGGCUAACUCCGUG
rnacentral:rRNA from 1 species